UGCUCCUGUGCGCAGUGAUCCAGAAGGUGGACUACGUGUUCGCUGAGAACGGUCUGGUGGCCUACAAGAACGGACAGCUGCUCUCUGUGCAGUCCAUUCAGGCCCACAUGGGGGAGGAGCUUCUGCAGGACUUCAUCAACUUCUGCCUGAACUACAUGGCCUCCAUCAAGUUACCCAAGAAGAGGUAACGUCCCACCGUCUGCAGCCUUUAGGGAGGGUCGAGGGUUUGAAUCCCAAACCUGAUAGGGUUCUGCAGUCAUGUUCUGCUGUCAUGUUCUGCAGUCAUGUUCAUGUUCUGCAGUCAUGUUCUGCAGUCAUGUUCUUGUUCUGCAGACAUGUUCUGCAGUCAUGUUCUUGUUCUGCAGACAUGUUCUGCAGUCAUGUUUUGCAGUCAUGUUCUGCAGUCAUGUUCAUGUUCUGCAGUCAUGUUCAUGUUCUUCAGUCAUGUUCUGCAGUCAUGUUCUGAAGUCAUGUUCUUGUUCUGCAGCCAUGUUCUUGUUCUGCAGACAUGUUCU
rnacentral:lncRNA from 1 species